GCCCGCUCAGUCAGUAGUUUGAUCCUGGCUCGAGGACGAACGCUGGCGGCGUGCCUAAUACAUGCAAGUCGAGCGGAGUUUAUCGGGAGCUUGCUCCUGAUAAACUUAGCGGCGGACGGGUGAGUAACACGUAGGCAACCUGCCCGUAAGACUGGGAUAACUACCGGAAACGGUAGCUAAUACCGGAUACGCAAGUCUCUCGCAUGAGGGGCUUGGGAAAGGCGGAGCAAUCUGUCACUUACGGAUGGGCCUGCGGCGCAUUAGCUAGUUGGUGGGGUAACGGCUCACCAAGGCGACGAUGCGUAGCCGACCUGAGAGGGUGAACGGCCACACUGGGACCGAGACACGGCCCAG
rnacentral:rRNA from 1 species